rnacentral:snoRNA from 1 species
AAACCAUGAUGUGUACAUUGCAUUUUAUAUCCCUUGAACUUUUCCCAAGCUUCACAAAAUUUUCAUUGCUCUUUUGAGUGAAGCUAGAUAUCUCAUUUCUCAACCU